rnacentral:rRNA from 1 species
GACGAAGGUGGCAAGCGUUGUUCGGAAUCACUGGGCUUAAAGAGCAUGUAGGCGGCCCAUCAAGCGUCUUGUGAAAUCCCUCGGCUCAACCGAGGAAUUGCUUGGCGAACUGCUGGGCUUGAGGCAGGUAGGGGCGCAUGGAACUCUUGGUGGAGCGGUGGAAUGCGUAGAUAUCAAGAGGAACGCCAGAGGCGAAAGCGAUGCGCUGGGCCUGUCCUGACGCUGAGAUGCGAAAGCCAGGGGAGCGAACGGGAUUAGAUACCCCAGUA